UACGGGGGGGCAAGCGUUGUUCGGAAUUACUGGGCGUAAAGGGCUCGUAGGCGGCCAACUAAGUCGGACGUGAAAUCCCCAGGCUCAACCUGGGAACUGCGUCCGAUACUGGAUGGCUUGAAUUCGGGAGAGGGAUGCAGAAUUCCAGGUGUAGCGGUGAAAUGCGUAGAUAUCUGGAGGAAUACCGGUGGCGAAGGCGGCAUCCUGGACCGACAUUGACGCUGAUGAGCGAAAGCUAGGGAGCAACGGG
rnacentral:rRNA from 1 species